rnacentral:rRNA from 1 species
CCUACGGGACGCAGCAGUGAGGAAUAUUGGUCAAUGGGCGGGAGCCUGAACCAGCCAAGUCGCGUGAGGGACGACGGUCCUAUGGAUUGUAAACCUCUUUUGUCAGGGAACAAAGGCGGGGACGUGUCCCCGGAUGAGUGUACCUGAAGAAAAAGCAUCGGCUAACUCCGUGCCAGCAGCCGCGGUAAUACGGAGGAUGCGAGCGUUAUCCGGAUUUAUUGGGUUUAAAGGGUGCGCAGGCGGUCGGUUAAGUCAGCGGGCAAAGCCCGGGGCUCAACCCCGGCCCGCCGCUGAAACUGGCAGUC